rnacentral:tRNA from 1 species
GCUCUUGUGGCUCAGUGGUAGAGCACUCCCUUGGUAAGGGAGAGGUCGCGGGUCCGAUUCCCGCCAGGAGCACCA